AUUCCAGCUCCAAUAGCGUAUAUUAAAGUUGUUGCAGUUAAAAAGCUCGUAGUUGGAUGUUGGGUUCUAGUUAUGUUCGGUCUCUUCUAGAGUACUGUCAUGCUGGCCCUUUUUCUCGAGGCCUAUAGGUGCACUUAACCGUGUGUUUAUAGUGUUCGGGACUUUUACCGUGAGAAAAUUAGAGUGUUCAUAGCAGGCUAGUGCUUGAAUAUUACAGCAUGGAAUAAUGGAAUAGGAUCAUGAUCUUAUUUUGUUGGUUUCUAAGAUUAAGAUAAUGAUUAAUAGGGAUAGUUGGGGGCAUUAAUUUUUAGUUGUCAGAGGUGAAAUUCUUAGAUUUACAAAAGAUUAACUUCUGCGAAAGCAUUUGCCAAGGAUGUUUUCAUCG
rnacentral:rRNA from 1 species